GAUGAAAACGCAGCGAAAUGCGAUAAGUAAUGUGAAUUGCAGAAUUCAGUGAAUCAUCGAAUCUUUGAACGCAUCUUGCGCUCCUUGGUAUUCUGAGGAGCAUGCCUGUUUGAGUGUCAUUAAAUUCUCAACUACACUGACUUUGAAUUGGUGUGGCUUGGAUUUGGGGGGAAAAUUGUUGUGGGCUUUUUGUAUAGUCUGCUCCCCUGAAAUUGAUUAGCGGUACCUUUGUGGAACUGUCUACAGGUGUGAUAAUUAUCUACAUCUUAGACAUCUGCUGGAAUGCUGCUUUCUAAACCUUACUUGUAUUGACAAUCUUGACCUCAAAUCAGGUAGGACUACCCGCUGAACUUAAGCAUAUCAAUAAGCGGAGGA
rnacentral:misc_RNA from 1 species